GAUGAACGCUGGCGGCGUGCCUAAUACAUGCAAGUCGAGCGAACAGACGAGGAGCUUGCUCCUCUGACGUUAGCGGCGGACGGGUGAGUAACACGUGGAUAACCUACCUAUAAGACUGGGAUAACUUCGGGAAACCGGAGCUAAUACCGGAUAAUAUAUUGAACCGCAUGGUUCAAUAGUGAAAGACGGUUUUGCUGUCACUUAUAGAUGGAUCCGCGCCGCAUUGGCUAGUUGGUAAGGUAACGGCUUACCAAGGCAACGAUGCGUAGCCGACCUGGGAGGGUGAUCGGCCACACUGAAACUGAGACACGGUCCAGACUCCUACGGGAGGCAGCAGUAGGGAAUCUUCCGCAAUGGGCGAAAGCCUGACGGAGCAACGCCGCGUGAGUGAUGAAGGUCUUCGGAUCGUAAAACUCUGUUAUUAGGGAAGAACAAAUGUGUAAGUAACUAUGCACGUCUUGACGGUACCUAAUCAGAAAGCCACGGCUAACUACGUGCCAGCAGCCGCCGUAA
rnacentral:rRNA from 1 species